AUUGUUUCUUCCUACUGGCAAAAUCGAGUGCAGUAUCUAUUCUCCUCAGUUUAACAUCGGAUAUGUCCUUUAUCUGAGGACAAUGGAUUAAAUGGAUUUUUGAAAUUGGGAGAUGGAACAAGAGCUUGCUCUGUCCACUCCACAUAUUUACCUGUAUUAUAGUACCUGCAGGAAUAUAAGCUCCAA
ensembl:snRNA U2 U2 spliceosomal RNA